rnacentral:rRNA from 1 species
GUGUUUAAUAGAGCUUUUGCUCGUGAACCAAAUAUGGUCGGCUGGGUUGUCUUUGCGGAAACGCUUAGGUGACUUGUCUACGAAUUGUAAUCAUAAUAUGCGCGACGGUGAAUCCUUUGCAGACGACUUGAAUGGGAACGGGGUACUGUAAGUGGUAGAGUAGCCUUGUUGCUACGAUCCACUGAGGUUAAGCCCUUGUUCUAAAGAUUUGUUCA